AUGCCGCGUGCUGGGCACAACCCGUUUAGCCCGUGCCAUGGCUGGCCCAUGGCGGGCCGAGCCGGCAUGCUCAUCAGGCCGGCCUCAUAUUUUUUUACGGGCCAGCCCAAUAUGUGGUUCGGGCCGUCAAACAAGCAAAACCCGCAUUAUCAGCUGGAAUUUUCCGGGCCGGGCCCUGGAUCUGCUAAAAUUUGCCAUCCGAAAAAGGAUUGCCGUCCUCUUCGUAGCCCUAUAGCCAACUCCCCGGCGCCAUGCCCCCGUCCCCAAUCCCCCCUCCUAUUGGCGGCGGAGAGCACUACCCGGGAAGGGGCGCAGCUUCCCGUCCCACCCUGUCGCCGCGCCUCUGCCCUCCUCUCAAGCACUAAUAGCUUCGUCGAUCUGCGCCGACAGCCAUCCUGGUUUCUCUUCCACGUCUCUGGCGAGUCUUGCGGAAACUGGUUUACUGCCUCAUCCUCUCUUCGUCUUCUUGCAUGCACUGCCCGAUGCGGGCCGGUCACGCUUCCGGUCCAGGACAUGCCUACAAAGAAUCAAGAAUGUACACGCACGGGAGGAGAAGCAAGCACAUGUAAGAAGAGAAAGGCUUCUUUACAGUCCAACUCCAACCGAGAAGAUUCUCCGCCUCCGAGGGAUGGGGGCAUGCGCUUGGUGAAUACAUUUGAGCUCUGCUUUGGAAAUUUAGAUGGCUACAGUGAAGAGCAAACCAGUACUAAGUUGCUUGCUUUGAGCCUAUGUCAAUCCAUUGUUUCACUUGCUGCUUUUAAGGGUAAAACUAGACAGUUAACAUGCACAGGCACAAUCAUACAGCACACAACAUCCAGCAUGAGCAUUCUAACCUCUGCGAGCUUGAUUAGAUCCUCUGAAGAUGAAAGUAAGAUGCUUGAUAAACUGGAGAUUAAGGUGCGCCUGCCCAAUGGCAAGCUUGUUGUAGGAAAACUGUGGAAAUAUGAUCUUUAUUAUAAUAUUGUUGUUGUGAACACCAAGGCUUUUCCAGAACUUCGUGCAGCAUGCUUUCAUAAUGAGGCUGGAAUUGGGAGCCCCAUUAUUGCUGCUGAUGGAAAAUUCAUAGGCAUGAGCUUUUUUUAUAAGGAUGGAGCUCCUUUCUUACCAAUCACUAUCCUCCAGAAAUGCUUAAAGCACUUCAAUGAAUUUGGGAGAGUUCUGCAGCCAUGGCAUGGUCUGAGGACUGGAUCACUUCAAGCUGAAAAACUGUGUGUCCGUGAAGAAGUACAUGACAGCUUCCCCCAUGCACAUGGCAUUUAA
rnacentral:rRNA from 1 species